GCUCAGUUGGUUGAGCAUCCAAACUCUUGGUCUUGGCUCAGGUCAUGAUCUUAUGGUUUGUGGGUUCAAGUCCCACACUGGGCU
rnacentral:tRNA from 1 species